AUGCUACCUCUCUUUGUCUCCGUUCAGAAGCAGCUUCCCGGAUCACACCCUGCCAGCCAAGUCCGGUUCGCCGUGUCGCUGCAACGCAAGAACGAGAGCUCCCCUCCUGUGGCCUGCCGGGCGAGCGACUCGUCUGUUGGGCAAGAAGACCACCAGAAUCAGCGAUCCGCCCCGGUCCAGUCCCUGAGCCAUGGGCUACUGCACUGGGGGGACCUUGUGGCCCCCCAAAUACCCAGCCCGAAACCAAAGUACCGUGGAGCCUCAGUUCAGAUCGGGGCACCCGGGAUCCCCAACGGAGACGCGGCCUUGGUCGGCAAGAGCACGGAGGACACUCGGGGUCCCUCAGCAUUCCCGGAUUUUCACAAGAAGGGACAGGAGAGCAGCCACCUCAACGCUUUCCUCUACCCGGAUCCUUUGCACCAAAACUGCCUCCAGAGCAGGAAGGCCUGCCAUGCACAAACAUGCCAGCAGGAGCGUGGAACCGUCCAGCCGAGAACAAGGACCUUACAGAGGUACAUCGAUUCACGGGCUCUGGCGGAAGGGAUCCCCAAUAAAAAAAUUAAAAUAAAAAUCUUCCGCGGGAGAAAUGAGGUCCUUGAGGGCACAGGCAGGAAGCCAGGAGAGUGGCUGGAAAAGUCUGGCAAGAACAGAAGGCCUUGGUGAAUCCAUCCAGAUGUAUCCAUACAGGUUCCCAGUAAGAAAGCCAUCGGGGUUUAGCUGUUUAGCCCUCGGGUGAGCCAAAGGGGGGCCCCCCGCAGGCUGCAAUGAUCUUCUGAGCACCUGGCUCUACCUGUUAACACACACCCCUUCCUCCUUUUCCUGUUCCCUUCCUUGGCAAAAUGCUUCUGACGCAUACACACUACGCAGCCUCUGCAUUACCCGCUGGUAUUGCUUUGACCCCCCCUUGAACCGUCGUGGCUCCGCCCUCUUGAGGAAUCUUGGGAGUUGUAGUUUGAGGAGGGGCUCAGAAUCCUCAGCAAGAGCAGCCCGGCACACACACACACACGCACUACACGGAGCCUCUAAAUGACUGCUCCCAGGUCACAGUCCGAGUGAAACACACACACACACCAAGUGAAGCAGCGACAGCGCAGAGCCUUGUCACGCCUUCUCUCUCCUUCCUUUCUCAGGGCCCCGGGGCCUCCCGUUUGCAUCUCCGGCCGGCACCUGGAGCCCCGCCAACUCGGAUGGAAGGAGAGGCUGAAGUCCGUCGUGUGUGCCUUGAUGUGACCACGACUGGGCUCCCGAUGGACCACCGGACGGGAACCUAGGAGGGAUUCUAGGUCCAAACGGCCAUUCCACAAACAGCCGCCGGCUGCAGAUCCUCCGACGGACACGACACCCUGUCGGGGAAAGCAGCUGCCGACAAGUCACCCAAAAUGAGGACAAAGAAGGUCCACAUUACUUGCACAAAAAUUGCAUUGGCUGAUAUGUGUAUAUACCGAUAUGUGUAUGUGCAGAGGCAAAAUUAGACGUGGUUCUCGCUAUUUAAAAAUUCAGGCGUGGAACUUUCUCCUGACUCCACUGCUGCUACCCGGAGAUGAUCGUGGCUGCAUAACUCUGCACCAGGAUGGUGACCGAUAAAUGAAUACUAUCGGUGAAGGAGAAAGCUUAAAUUGAACACAGGCAGGAUUUUGUUUGGGCAGAUGGCCCCGCCGCGUCUUACGUCUUGAGUAGAACGCUAAAAACCAAAUUGCAAAUCGUGGUAAAUAAAAAACGGCAACCGGUUCA
rnacentral:lncRNA from 1 species